AGCAGCCGCGGUAAUUCCAGCUCCAAUAGCGUAUAUUAAAGUUGUUGCAGUUAAAAGCUCGUAGUUGAAUUUCGGGAUCAGCAGGUCAGUCGUGCCACUGGUAUGUACUGGUCUUGCUGAUUCCUCCCUCUUGACGAACCGUAAUGCCAUUCAUUUGGUGUUGCGGGAAAUCAGGACUGUUACUUUGAAAAAUUGAGUGUUUAAAGCAGGCUUAAGCUUGAAUACAUUAGCAUGGAAUAAUGAAAUAGGACGUUCGAUCCUAUUUUGUUGGUUUCUAGGAUUGACGUAAUGAUUAAUAGGGAUAGUUGGGGGCAUUAGUAUUCAAUUGUCAGAGGUGAAAUUCUUGGAUUUAUUGAAGACUAACUACUGCGAAAGCAUUUGCCAAG
rnacentral:rRNA from 1 species